GGAGCUGCCGCUUGCGCCGGGCGGCCGGGGCAGCUGCGCGAGGAAUAGAGUAGAGAGCAAAGGGGAAAGGUGCUUUUUUCACCAGCUGAGCGAUUUAUUUUGCAAAAAGUAAAGGACGCUAUGGACGAAAAAAACAUCAAGGUUUAAUUGGCUCACUGUUCAUUUUUAAUUUUUUUACCCCCCGCCCCCAGCUGUAGAGACAAGAGAACCCUUUGAUCUGUCUACACUGCAGCCGACACUUCGUUCACCUCACUCGUGCGUUGAUCUGACAGCCGCGCGCGCCGCGCUGCCUUGGAUAUAUUUGUCCUCGAGCCUCCCUGGGUUGGUCCACGCGCAGCGUUGCGUUUAACAAAACAUUGGCCACAGUUUGAAACGUUAACCGCUCCGCGGGGAAAGAAAGAAAAAACACUUUCUUUUGAGUGAAAUGAGUAAAGUAGUGAAACGGACUAAGCGUCAAACGUGGUGUUCUGAAUGCGCCUUUUCUAGUUAUGUUUUUUUUUUUUUUGGUCAAUUCCACUGUUAACAUUUAAAUCGAUAAGCUGAACAAGUGGAGGAAGUUGUUUUUUUUGGUGGAAAAAAGUGGAAGAAAAUAACCGGCUACACGACGGUGACUGUAAACUGGAAGAGGAGGGUCCCCCCCACGCUGGGACGAACAGCGCUGUGUCCUGAUCGGCUGAACCUUCAACACAAGACUCCCCUCUGCAUUACACCUACCAGCACAGUUUUGGACGCACAGAAGGGAAUGACAGGACUCGGCAGCAGACCAGUGCCAUUCAACUGCUAGACCACUCAACAA